ACCAUCUCUUUCACAGAGUUCUUAUUCUCUCGAAUCUCUUGUAUUCUUCAUAUUAUUUUUUUCUUGCUGAAUCAAAUGAAUCACACUCCUGAGAAGCCUCAAGACUCAUAGUAUGUUUGGGUAUUCUUAUUAGCAGUGGCGGACCUACAGAAGCGCAAGGAGGUGCAGAUGCACCUCCCGUCGCCGGAAAAAACUAUGGAGUUAUUGGAUUUGCCCCUUUGCUCUUUGGCUUUUUAAAAGGUGCUAUCAAGACGCUCCUCAUGGAGUGCGUCGAUCUGAGGCUUUUUCAAGUUUCACAAACGACGUCGUACUUAGGAUUUAGGUUCAAUGAAACGCAUGUUUCAAUGAAGUUGUUUAAAAAUCAAACUCUUCGGUGUUGGUGCAACCUAAAUAACAGCUGUUUCAAAAUUCAUUA